rnacentral:rRNA from 1 species
AGAGUUUGAUCCUGGCUCAGAGCGAACGCUGGCGGCAGGCUUAACACAUGCAAGUCGAACGCCCGGGCAACCGGGAGUGGCAGACGGGUGAGUAACACGUGGGAACGUACCCUUCGGUUCGGAAUAACUCAGGGAAACUUGAGCUAAUACCGGAUACGUCCGUAAGGAGAAAGAUUUAUCGCCGAAGGAUCGGCCCGCGUCUGAUUAGCUAGUUGGUGAGGUAAUGGCUCACCAAGGCGACGAUCAGUAGCUGGUCUGAGAGGAUGAUCAGCCACACUGGGACUGAGACACGGCCCAGACUCCUACGGGAGGCAGCAGUGGGGAAUAUUGGACAAUGGGCGAAAGCCUGAUCCAGCCAUGCCGCGUGAGUGAUGAAGGCCCUAGGGUUGUAAAGCUCUUUCGGCGGGGACGAUAAUGACGGUACCCGCAGAAGAAGCCCCGGCUAACUUCGUGCCAGCAGCCGCGGUAAUACGAAGGGGGCUAGCGUUGCUCGGAAUCACUGGGCGUAAAGGGCGCGUAGGCGGACGUUUAAGUCGGGGGUGAAAUCCUGAGGCUCAACCUCAGAAUUGCCUUCGAUACUGGGCGUCUCGAGACCGGAAGAGGUGAGUGGAACUGCGAGUGUAGAGGUGAAAUUCGUAGAUAUUCGCAAGAACACCAGUGGCGAAGGCUGCUCACUGGUCCGGUUCUGACGCUGAGGCGCGAAAGCGUGGGGAGCAAACAGGAUUAGAUACCCUGGUAGUCCACGCCGUAAACGAUGGAUGCUAGCCGUUGGCGAGCUUGCUCGUCAGUGGCGCAGUUAACACUUUAAGCAUCCCGCCUGGGGAGUACGGUCGCAAGAUUAAAACUCAAAGGAAUUGACGG